rnacentral:misc_RNA from 1 species
GAUGAAGAACGCAGCGAAAUGCGAUAAGUAGUGUGAAUUGCAGAAUUCAGUGAAUCAUCGAAUCUUUGAACGCACAUUGCGCCCCUCGGUAUUCCGUGGGGCAUGCCUGUUCGAGCGUCAUUUAACCCCUCAAGCCUAGCUUGGUAUUGGGUGCUUGUCCCGCCUCUCGCGCGGCGACUCACCUCAAAGUCAUUGGCAGCCCGCAUCUCGCCGGCCGUGAGCGCAGCACGGACGCGCUCUUGGCAACGACGGAUCGGCUCUCCAAAAGCUUAUUUCAACCACUGACCUCGGAUCAGGUAGGGAUACUCGCUGAACUUAAGCAUAUCAAUAAGCGGAGGA